rnacentral:tRNA from 1 species
GCGGGGGUUGCCAAGCCAGGUCAAAGGCGCAGGGCUUAGGACCCUGUCUCAUAGGAGUUCGUGCGUUCAAAUCGCACCCCCCGCA